rnacentral:tRNA from 3 species
UGCUGGAUCGUCUAAUGGUAGGACAACGGACUCUGAAUCCGUUUAUCUUGGUUCGAAUCCAGGUCCAGCAGCAA